rnacentral:rRNA from 1 species
GUUGGCUUAGAAGCAGCCAUCAUUUAAAGAGUGCGUAAUAGCUCACUGGUCGAGUGACUCUGCGCCGAAAAUGUAACGGGGCUAAACGGACCACCGAAGCCGCGGAUGCCGAAGGGCAUGGUAGGGGAGCGUUCCCGGGGCGUCGAAGUCGCACCGUGAGGUGCGGUGGAGCGCCGGGAAGUGAGAAUGCCGGUGUGAGUAACGAAAAGAGGGGUGAGAAUCCCCUCCGCCGAAAGCCUAAGGGUUCCUGAGGAAGGUUCGUCCGCUCAGGGUAAGUCGGGACCUAAG